GAUGAACGCUAGCGGCAGGCUUAACACAUGCAAGUCGAGGGGUAUAGUAGCAAUACUAGAGACCGGCGCACGGGUGCGUAACGCGUAUGCAACCUACCUUUUACAGAGGGAUAGCCCAGAGAAAUUUGGAUUAAUACCUCAUAGUGUUAUUGAAUGGCAUCAUUUAAUAACUAAAGUUCCAACGGUAAAAGAUGGGCAUGCGUCCUAUUAGCUAGAUGGUAAGGUAACGGCUUACCAUGGCUACGAUAGGUAGGGGUCCUGAGAGGGAGAUCCCCCACACUGGUACUGAGACACGGACCAGACUCCUACGGGAGGCAGCAGUGAGGAAUAUUGGACAAUGGGCGCAAGCCUGAUCCAGCCAUGCCGCGUGCAGGAAGAAGCAUCUAUGGUGUGUAAACUGCUUUUGUACAGGAAGAAACAUCCCUACGUGUAGGGACUUGACGGUACUGUAAGAAUAAGGAUCGGCUAACUCCGUGCCAGCAGCCGCGGUAAUACGGAGGAUCCAAGCGUUAUCCGGAAUCAUUGGGUUUAAAGGGUCCGUAGGCGGUUUAAUAAGUCAGCGGUGAAAUCUGGUCGCUCAACGAUCAAACGGCCAUUGAUACUGUUAGACUUGAAUUAUUGGGAAGUAACUAGAAUAUGUAGUGUAGCGGUGAAAUGCUUAGAUAUUACAUGGAAUACCAAUUGCGAAGGCAGGUUACUACCAAUGGAUUGACGCUGAUGGACGAAAGCGUGGGGAGCGAACAGGAUUAGAUACCCUGGUAGUCCACGCCGUAAACGAUGGAUACUAGCUGUUGGGCGCAAGUUCAGUGGCUAAGCGAAAGUGAUAAGUAUCCCACCUGGGGAGUACGUUCGCAAGAAUGAAACUCAAAGGAAUUGACGGGGGCCCGCACAAGCGGUGGAGCAUGUGGUUUAGUUCGAUGAUACGCGAGGAACCUUACCAAGGCUUAAAUGUAGAUUGACAGGACUGGAAACAGUUUUUUCUUCGGACAAUUUACAAGGUGCUGCAUGGUUGUCGUCAGCUCGUGCCGUGAGGUGUCAGGUUAAGUCCUAUAACGAGCGCAACCCCUGUUGUUAGUUGCCAGCGAGUCAAGUCGGGAACUCUAACAAGACUGCCAGUGUAAACUGUGAGGAAGGUGGGGAUGACGUCAAAUCAUCACGGCCCUUACGCCUUGGGCUACACACGUGCUACAAUGGACGGUACAGAGAGCAGCCACUGGGUGACCAGGAGCGAAUCUACAAAACCGUUCUCAGUUCGGAUCGGAGUCUGCAACUCGACUCCGUGAAGCUGGAAUCGCUAGUAAUCGGAUAUCAGCCAUGAUCCGGUGAAUACGUUCCCGGGCCU
rnacentral:rRNA from 1 species